rnacentral:antisense_RNA from 1 species
CUUGAGCGACCCCAGCCACAGCGGCCGGUCCCGGUCCUGCCCGUAGGUCGCCAGCAGGGCCUGCGCCUC